rnacentral:rRNA from 1 species
CCAAAAACAUCGCCUCUUGCAAAAAUAACAAAUAAGAGGUCCCGCCUGCCCUGUGACUAUAUGUUUAACGGCCGCGGUAUUUUGACCGUGCGAAGGUAGCGCAAUCACUUGUCUUUUAAAUGGAGACCUGUAUGAAUGGCACAACGAGGGCUUAACUGUCUCCUUUUUCUAGUCAAUGAAAUUGAUCCCCCCGUGCAGAAGCGGGGAUACCCACAUAAGACGAGAAGACCCUAUGGAGCUUUAGACACCAAAGCAGACCAUGUUAAUUACCCCUAAACAAAGGACCAAACAAUAUUGAACCCUGCCCUAAUGUCUUCGGUUGGGGCGACCACGGAGAAAUAAAAAACCCCCGCGUGGAACAGGGAUACCAUCCCCACAAUUGUGAGCCUCCGCUCUACCAAACAGAACUUCUGACCAAUUAGAUCCGGCAAUGCCGACCAACGGACCAAGUUACCCUAGGGAUAACAGCGCAAUCCCCUUUUAGAGCCCAUAUCGACAAGGGGGUUUACGACCUCGAUGUUGGAUCAGGACAUCCUAAUGGUGCAGCCGCUAUUAAGGGUUCGUUUGUUCAACGAUUAAAGUCCUACGUGAUCUGA